AGCAGCCGCGGUAAUUCCAGCUCCAAUAGCGUAUAUUAAAGUUGUUGCAGUUAAAAAGCUCGUAGUUGAAUUUCGGGAUCAAAGGAUCGGUCAUGCCUUGGUAUGUACUGGUUUUAUUGGUUCUCACCUUCUAAAGAACCAUAAUGUCAUUCAUUUGAUGUUAUGGGGAAUUAGGACUGUUACCUUGAAAAAUUAGAGUGUUUAAAGCAGGCUUACGCUUGAAUACAUUAGCAUGGAAUAAUGAAAUAGGACAUCAGAUUCUAUUUUGUUGGUUUCUAGGAUCGAUGUAAUGAUUAAUAGGGAUAGUUGGGGGCAUUAGUAUUCAAUUGUCAGAGGUGAAAUUCUUGGAUUUAUUGAAGACUAACUACUGCGAAAGCAUUUGCCAAGGAUGUUUUCAUUAAUCAAGAACGAAAGUUAGGGGAUCGAAGACGAUCGGAUACCGUGUAGUCUUAACCAUAAACUAUGCCGACUAGGGAUCGGAUGAUGUUAAUUUUAUAAUGACUCAUUCGG
rnacentral:misc_RNA from 1 species